CUUGAAAACGAUUCAGAUAAAUCGAAGUUCGGCGUUUGGUACCGGGUAAUUUCCGAUGUUCAUUGCAAUCUGGAUGAAAAUCAAUCCAUAGAUAAUAAUAGACAUAUUAGAGGGGCGCAUGAUUGAACGAAUGACUUUUGGUCUUGCGUUCCGUUGAGACAUUUGGUAAACAUUUAAUAUUUUAUAUCAUUAUGAAAUGAAAAAAUACAGACUUAUUUUGUAUGUUAUUUUUAUUAAUUGAUAAUAUUUUUAGUUAAUCACUUUGUAAAGUCUUACAAAUGUUUAAAACAAAAGGAAAAUGCAACGACGGAUUUUUCUUUUGCAACUGAAGUAAUGAAACGCAAAAAAAAAAGAAAAAUGACGUUAUGUUAUAUCAGCUGAUAUACUUGAAUUCGCGCCGAAUGCAACAGUUUUAUCUUCUCAGAAUUUAUACAAUAACAACAAUAACGAAAGAAAUGUAAGUAAAUUAUUAAUCUAGUAGUAGUAAGAAACAAGUCAAGAAAGAAUAGUCACAUAAUGAACCUAUUCAUUGUUCAACAACUUAAAUAGUUUGUUGGAAACUUGUAAAUGUAUCUUUUUGUUUUUCUAGAUCACCGAUUUACUAUCUACUAGAUCUAGAGAGUCGGAGGCUAGACAUGGAGGAGCGACUUGUUUCAGCAGUUAACAAGCUGGCUGGCUACAGCUGCUGAAGCUAAUAGCAAGGCUGCGGAUAUGCAAACAGAGUUGCUUCGGCUGCUGCUGGAGGAAGCUAGGUGAAGACCAAUAAAGGUUAAAGAAUAGCAGCAUGACGAUUCUCAAGAACGAAGACACUAGAGAAACUAAGUUAAAAUACUUAAGUAAAAACAUAUGUACUCAAUAAACUUGUAUGAAAAUAUUUAAGCUAAAGUAUAAGUACUCCAUUUAUGUUAUUUAAGUGAAGUUGUAUUUAAUUUAAAUACUUAAGUUUGGUCAUGUUAUUUAAGUGAGUUUGUCUAGGGGUAACAUUAAAGUACAUUAAAGACAAAGCAACUAGAUAUCAUUUUACCAAGAACUAUUUUGAAACAAAAAUAAUAUAGCAUCACGCUUCUAUUCCCGAAGGGGUAGGCAGAGGUGUAUAUUAUAUGUAUACACCCACUCCUUGCCUACUACUAUCUAAUAAAAAGAUUUGUAUAGGUGUAUUGAUGAAGAUGUUGGAUGCAAUUAACUUAUAUUUCCAUAUUAUAGUAAGAAUUGGGAACAAUAUUAUAUUUGUAGUAUGUUCUAAUUGAUUACAUUUCUUUGAUCCACCCGCAGGGCUUUUUUGACUAUACUAUUACACAUUACAAAUAGUCUAGUCCAAUAAGGCCCCGCAAGCUUGUAUUUAUACAAAAUAAAUGGAUUUAUUUAUUACAAGUUAAAGAUAGAUGGAUAAACUACUUUAUUAAGCACAAUGGACACAAGAUUAGAAAAAAUGUAUCUACUUGAGAGAUAGGUUGGUUAAUGAGAGGGGUGCAAUGAAACAAAUUAUGUAAUAACACAAAAUAAAUAAAUAUGCAUAAUGAAAAUAGUUUAUUUGAUGUCAAUAAAGAAAGGUUUGUUUAGAUAUUGUAUUAUUGAAUAACAAAUCUGCCACUUUUGAUUACACCACACUGACUUCAUAAUUUACAUUUCAAGGACCACACAAGUCCACUUAAUGAACUUAAACAUAUUAAAAUUAAGGAGAUGUUCCUUUUCCCUUCUCAAAGUGCUGUUGUUCCAAAUAUGGUUAUCUUGGCUAGCAGUCUAGCACUAACACUCCCAUUGGAUGCAUCACAAAUGUAAUGCACAUAUCUCCAUCACAAACCUGAAAAUUAAAAUAUUUUUAGCGACUCAAUCAUAAGAAUCAAAACAAAUGUAGCUAGUUAAAGGCAUGAUUCUUACCAACAUAACAUGCAAUGAAUGGUAAUACUUGCUAUUGAAGAAGGCCUCUUCCCACUUGUGAGGUUGGAUAAUGGCAAUGUGUGUGCCAUGGAUGCAUCCAAGUACUCCAAGAAAUCCAAAUUUGUCAUUAAAACCUCUGGAGACUUCUAUAUGCUCAGUUUUUGUCCGAGGAAACUUGAUAGAUUAUCUCACGAUUGCAGGCUGAUUGAGGGCAUUUGUCACUGUAAUUAUAACAUACAGAUAUUAUAUUGGAUUCAUGUAAUGUUGUAGUAUAACUUUAAUUAUCAAAAUAUAAGGUAAAAUAUAACAUAAUAUAGUAACCACCUACCUUAAAGUCGAUUGCACAGUUGUAGAGCAUUGGACCUUCAGAUAUGGUCCUAAGUCAUGAUACAAAGUCCGAAAUGCAUCUUUUGAUAAUCUAAAAUUACCAAUGUAGCUACUCUCUGAAACAAAACAAAAUAGAUAAGUAUGAAAUGAUCAAAAAUCGCUUCUAGUAAGUUCAGCAACUUUUCCUCUGUAAACAUUGAGCCACUUGUCAGAAAUAAUGUUAUAAAUAGAUGUACCUGUGAGAAGUAUAUACUGGCUUUUCUCUCGAAGUAUCCUGCAAUCGAUUUGCUCAAGAUUCUGAAGACAUUUUCUUCCGCAGCAGCCCAUAAAACGACUAUCUCCAUGACACUGUAUUUAGGUAUUUAAACACGAAAAUCCACGCCGAUAUCAAUUUAUAUUGAUUAAGAUGUUUCUAAAAUUUGUCGCCCACCGUAAAUAGCUCCUAAUAUUGGUGAAAAACAGUGAAAAUAAGAAAUUAAAAUUGAUCACGGUUACUGAAAAGUGCCCGGCUUCAACUGACACUUCCAAUGGGAAUCGGCUUCAGACGCCGAACUUCGAUUUUUUACGCGGUAGCGAUUUUAGUGUCAAAAGUACUGAAAUCAUUCGUUCAAUCGGCUUGCCGAACUUCAUGUGACGUCACGAAUCGGGGAUCGCCAUCUUGGCUGUUUACGCGGUACGACAGAAUCAAAUCGAUGUUCGAUUUGCUCCAAUCUGAAUCGGCUUCGUCUUAGCCGGUAGCCCCCCAGGUAUGAUCAAAACUGACAGCUAGCAUUUCAAGGUUAGCCCAGCUGACGUCAUCCAACCCUGUGUUGCCAAUUCGUAAAAAAUAAAUUACCCACGUCCAAUGUUUUUUAUUUACUUUGCAAGGAAAUUUUGAACUUUUAGCAAAAGAUUUACGUACAGUUUUAAUGAUUUUUAUAUAUGUGACAAAUAAUAGUAAUUAAAUACAUUAGUCAGUAAUUCACAUAAUUUUCAAUAAUAAAAUUUACGUCCUUGGAAUGUUGGAGAUACCAAUUGAAUGGUAACACUUACGACAUCAAUGGGCUAGCAAUGGCGGCUUGUCAUAGGACUGAGCAUACCUGGUCUUUUUAUACCAUGAUAUUGGUGCUAAUUCCUGCAGACGCCAUCCAAUUUUAUUUUAAGUUAUACCUGUUAUUUUCUUAUCCGUUGAAAAAGAAACGGACGGGUAAUCGACAGACAUAAAAUUUAUGGAAUACACGUCAAUUUUAAGCAGAAAAAUAAAACAACCGUCUAAAAAUUUUACAUCGGCCAAUAACCCGACAGAGUUAAGUAGACAGCACGUCAAACGGAUUACAUACCAGGGAGAUGCCUAUUUUAUUGGCCCGGGUUAUUCAUUCGUUUUAAAAUUAACUUGUUGACAAUCAUCCGUCCCUUUCCUUUUCGAUGGAUAAGAAAAUGACGGGUAUAACUUAAAAUAAAAUUAGGCGGUGUCUUAAGGAAUCGGGGCCAUUAACUUCUUUUUUCAGUACAAAAUGUUCAUGUACACCAGUUUUUCUAUGAUGUUAAGUCGAACUUCUUGAGUCCGCCCUCAGCUGAGGCGAUCUUCAGGAACUCGGCUCGAAAUCGGUAUUCUGAGACGGCGCCUUAAUCAUAUCUCGUUUUUACUCCAGUAAGGCAUGACGGCAUUACUUUACUGGCAGUAUGAUAUGCUCGACUCCAGUGAGUAGUCCUCAAGUAGUCAAAAUAUUUUGUUAUAAAAUGGUAAAGAUUCGUAACAAAGUUUUUACGGAGGAAGCUUUAAAACAACAAAUAUUAUAAUAAGAAUACCAGAUUGUCCGAAAGUUAGAUGGUCCGUGCUUCGCAAGGCACUUUAAGCAGUUGGUCCCGGUUGUUACUUACUGGUAAGUAAGUAGUCGUUACAUGAGCCGUGUCAGGGGCCUUUGGCGGCUCAAUAGUAACCUUGACACCAGGGUUGAUAUAUACGUACAGGGGUGGAACUCCACCUCACAACCCACACGAUAGAAGAUAAUAAUACGCAUCGGAAAAAUAAUACGAUUAUCCGUUUCACAUGAAUUGGAAUGAGAUUUUCGGGAGUUAAAAAUUGGUAUCAAUUUGUGCCUGUGAGUAAGGUAAUGUUAGAAAGACUAGUAACUGUUAAAACGCGGGGUGUUUUAAAAUAAAACAAAAUAAUAAAUAAACAAAAUUCGAACUAGAGCACUCAAAAAAGGUCGUCAUCAAUGAGGGACUUUCCAAUCGACGUUCCCCAAACACACGAUAGAUGGCGUUGUUCACUUUUAACGUGAUAAUUACCUAUUUUCUCAUUGCUGGGAUACAUAGUUAUUCAAAAAUGUAAUUUAAUGACAGAAGCAUAUAUAAAACUAUUUACUGUAAUACAUUAUUAUAAUGAUCAAAAUAAAGACAAAAAUUUAGCUUUGAUCGCCAUCGACUCGCAAAGAAGAAGAAUUAUUUUUAUAGGUACGGUCACGAGCAUUAAUAUGUAUACACUUUGGUACCAUGUCACAUUUACUUUUUUGACAAAUUGAACUGUAAGUCUCACUAAAUGUCAAAUAUGUUAGUGCGACAGAGUCCUAAAGUGGGUACAUUAUAUUGCUCAUGACUGUACCUAUCUAGCUUCUGCCAUUACAUUGUAUUUUGGUAAUUUGUAUCCGUAAUUUGUAAUGAGAAAAUCAUUAAUUAUCUCGUUAAAGCUUUAUAACGCCAUCUAUAUUGCCUCUAGUGAACGUAGCCUGAGAAAUACCUCAUUCCGACCUUAAUGUCGUACUACAAAUUUUAUGUUUAUUUAUUAUGAACUGUUCUCAUCAAUGUAUUUAUCGUGAUAUUGGUGCUAAUUCCUGUAAACACCAUCUAAUUUUACUUUAAGUUAUAUCUGUCAUUUACUUAUCCGCCGAAAAGGAAAGGGACGGGUAAUCGAUAAGCAUAAAAUUUAUGGAACACACGUCAAUUUUAAGCACAAAUCUAAAACAACCGUCUAAAAAUUUCACAUUGGUCAUUUACCCGGCAGAAUUAUGUUGACAGUACACGUCAAACGGUUUGCAUACCAGCGAGAUACCUUUUUAAUUCGCCCGGGUUAUUAAUUCAUUUACACAUUCUUCCUAAAAUUAAGAGCUGUCAAUCAUCCGUCCCUUUCCUUUUCCUUGGAUAAGAAAAUGACAGGUAUAACUUAAAGUAAAAUUAGGAGGUGUCUGCCGGAAUCGGGGCCAUUAUAUAAGUGACUGUUUUCAUUUCAGUACUGCAUUCUUUUAGGUCGUUUUUCGGGAUGUUUCUUUUAUACACAUACAUUUACUUCGUAAUGGGGUGAGCAGAGCUUGCAUCCACUUUUGAUACGAAGUCUUAUGAGGAAUAUUGAAAAUGAAAAACAUGUUUCAUAAAAUAAUAACUAAAUAAUAUUUUCAAAUAUAAAACUGAAAGAAAUUGUCCCGAAAAGUAAUGUUUAGUUUAAGACAUUGAUAAAAUCAGAUGAUUCGCAACAUUCCGCAACUUUAGUCAACGUUGACUUUGAUUGGUUAUCAAAAUCAUGUAGCGUGCCAUGGCAGAUUUUCAACCAAUCACAGGGCGCGGAUAUCACGACAUGGCAUUACGUCAGCGCUUCUGAUUGGUGCGAUUCGGUUGGUUUUCAUGAUUACGUUGCUCAAUGUUGCGCGUCAAAUGUUUAUAAAAAAUAUCCGAUAUUAGAAAUAGAAAAUGAGCAACUGUUUUUGCAAGUAAGCUUACUACUAAUUUUGUACAUAGACAUUCAAUUACAUUUAAAAUAAACAUAAAUGUACAUUCUAUUAUAAAUGGACUUUUCCAUGUAACAAGGUCAUCAAAUAAAAAAAUGAUGAAAAAUAA